GGGGGAGCACCGGAUCCUUUGCUGUGUCCCCCGGCCCCCUGCGCUCCAGGGCCUGUGCUGCUUGAAUCACAGUCCUGGGCGGUGCAGUCCCCU
rnacentral:pre_miRNA from 1 species